GUCGAGAUGAGUCCAAGGUUGUGUCGGUGGUGUCAGGUGGGCUAUCAAGGGUGGUCCACAGGCAUUCUUCCAGAAAGGUGGACACAUUCUUCCAGAAAGGUGGACACAAGGUGCGGGAUCUAGUUGCCACCAAGGACUGCUCGGCAAGAAUUUUCAGCUCAGGAAGGGACGCUUCAUCGAUCUGUGCUUUGGCAGGCAUCCUUGGGGAUCAAGUUAC
rnacentral:lncRNA from 1 species